CCUAAGGCUAGUCAGGUUGGAGUCCAGCUUGGUUCAGAUCUAAGCUUAGUUAAGUCCAAGUCUUAGUUUAGGUC
rnacentral:tRNA from 1 species